rnacentral:rRNA from 1 species
UACAGAGGUCUCAAGCGUUGUUCGGAUUCAUUGGGCGUAAAGGGUGCGUAGGUGGCGCCGUAGUACUAGGUGUGAAAUUUCGGAGCUUAACUCCGAAACUGCAUUUGAUACUGCGGUGCUUGAGGACUGGAGAGGAGACUGGAAUUCACGGUGUAGCAGUGAAAUGCGUAGAUAUCGUAAGGAAGACCAGUGGCGAAGGCGAAUCUCUGGACAGUUACUGACACUGAGGCACGAAGGCCAGGGGAGCAAACGGG